UUUCAUUGUUAAAUGAUAUAUGGGUCCUAUUAUGUUUGUGAGUUUAAUUCCCUUAAAUCAGGUGUGUGUGUUUUAAUUUAACAAUUCGAGUGCAUUGCAUUGAAUUUACAAAUUGAGGGUUGUGUGGAUCCUAAUAGAGGAUAAUAGAAAAUCCUCUAGUUCUCGAGCUAACAACAAAGCCUAUGGAAUAUAAAGAUUCAAUCUUUAUGACCUAUUUCAUAUAAAGAUCGAAUCUUUCAACAAGUAGAAGUGAGAUUCGGGUGUUUUGAGACUUGUUAUUGAUUUUACUAUCCACAAACACAUCAUUUGCUUUAUAAUUCUUUUUUUUUUUGUUUUUGAAUGAUAUAGGGGUCCUAUUAUGUUUGUGAGUCUAAUUCAUUCACAUCAUGUGUGUGUGUGUUUUAAUUUAACAAUUCGAGUGCACCGCAUUGAAUUUACAAAUUUAGGGUUGUGUGAAUCCUAAUAGAGGUUAGUAAAAGAUCCUCUAGUUCUUUAGCUAACAACAAAGCCUAUGCAAUAUAAAGAUUCAAUCUUUAUGUCCUAUUUCAUAUAAAGAUCGACUUUUUCAACAAGUAGAAGUGAGAUUCGGGUGUUUUGAAACUUGUUACUUAUUUUACUAUCCACAAACACAUCAUUUGCUAUAUAAUUCUUUUUUUUAGUUGUUGAAUGAUAUGGGGGUCCUAUUAUGUUUGUGAGUCUAAUUCCCUCAAAUCAGGUGUGUGUGUGUGUGUUUUAAUUUAACAAUUCGAGUGCAUUGCAUUGAACUUACAAAUUGAGGGUUGUGUGGAUCCUAAUAGAGGAUAAUAGAAAAUCCCCUAGUUCUCGAGCUAACAACAAAGCCUGGGCAAUAUAAAGAUUCAAUCUCUAUACCCUAUUUCAUAUAAAGAUCGACUCUUUCAACAAGUAGAAGUGAGAUUCGGGUGUUUUGAGACUUGUUAUUGAUUUUACUAUCCACAAACACAUCAUUUGCUUUAUAAUUCUUUUUUUUCAUUGUUAAAUAAUAUAUGGGUCCUAUUAUGUUUGUGAGUUUAAUUCUCUUAAAUCAGGUGUGUGUGUUUUAAUUUAACAAUUCGAGUGCAUUGCAUUGAACUUACAAAUUGAGGGUUGUGUUGAUCCUAAUAGAGGAUAAUAAAAGAUCCUCUAGUUCUCGAGCUAACAACAAAGCCUAUGGAAUAUAAAGAUUCAAUCUUUAUGCCCUAUUUCAUAUAAAGAUCGAAUCUUUCAACAAGUAGAAGUGAGAUUCGGGUGUUUUGAGACUUGCUAUUGAUUUUACUAUCCACAAACACAUCAUUUGCUUUAUAAUUCUUUUUUUUUUUUAGUUUUUGAAUGAUAUAGGGGUCCUAUUAUGUUUGUGAGUCUUAUUCCCUCAAAUCAGGUGUGUGUUUUAAUUUAACAAUUCGAGUGCACCGCAUUGAAUUUACAAAUUGAGGGUUGUAUGAAUCCUAAUUGAGGUUAAUAAAAGAUCCUCUAGUUCUUGAAAUAUAAAGAUUCAAUCUUUAUACCCUAUUUCAUAUAAAGAUCGACUUUUUUAACAAGUAGAAGUGAGAUUCGGGUGUUUUGAGACUUGUUAAUUAUUUUACUAUCCACAAACACAUCAUUUGCUUUAUAAUUCUUUUUUUUUUCAUUGUUAAAAAAUAUAAGGGUCCUAUUAUGUUUGUGAGUUUAAUUCCCUUAAAUCAGGUGUGUGUGUUUUAAUUAAACAAUUCGAAUGCAUUGCAUUAAAUUUACAAAUUGAGGGUUAUGUUGAUCCUAAUAGAGGUUAGUAAAAGAUCCUCUAGUUCUCGAGCUAACAACAAAGCCUAUGCAAUAUAAAGAUUCAAUCUUUAUGCCCUAUUUCAUAUAAAGAUCGACUCUUUCAACAAGUAGAAGUGAGAUUCGGGUGUUUUGAGACUUGUUAUUGAUUUUACUAUCCACAAACAAAUCAUUUGCUUUAUAAUUCUUUUUGUUUAGUUUUUGAAUGAUAUAGGGGUCCUAUUAUGUUUGUGAGUCUAAUUCCCUCAAAUCAGGUGUGUGUAUGUGUGUUUUAAUUUAACAAUUCGAAUGCAUUGCAUUGAAUUUACAAAUUGAGGUUUGUGUUGAUCCUAAUAGAGGUUAAUGAAAGAUCCUCUAGUUCUCGAGCUAACAACAAAGCCUAUUCAAUAUAAAGAUUCAAUCUUUAUGCCCUAUUUCAUAUAAAGAUCGAAUCUUUCAACAAGUGAAGUGA